rnacentral:tRNA from 1 species
GGGGAUGUAGCUCAGUGGCAAAGCACCUGCCUGGCAAGCGUGAGCCCCUGGGUUCAAUUCCCAAUACCA